GCGGCGUGCUUAACACAUGCAAGUCGAGCGAGAAGCCAAUGUUUGAUUCUUCGGAAGAUUACUUUGGUGGAAAGCGGCGGACGGGUGAGUAACGCGUGGGCAACCUAUCUUAUACAGUGGGGACAACAUCGGGAAACCGGUGCUAAUACCGCAUAACACAUUGAAAUGGAAUCAUUAUGAUGUCAAAGGAGGAAUCCGGUAUAAGAUGGGCCCGCGUCCAAUUAGCUAGUUGGUGAGGUAACGGCUCACCAAGGCGACGAUUGGUAGCCGAACUGAGAGGUUGAUCGGCCACAUUGGGACUGAGACACGGCCCAGACUCCUACGGGAGGCAGCAGUGGGGAAUAUUGCACAAUGGGGGAAACCCUGAUGCAGCAACGCCGCGUGAAGGAUGAAGGUCUUCGGAUUGUAAACUUCUUUGAUUGGGGAAGAAGAAGUGACGGUACCCAAAAAACAAGCCACGGCUAACUACGUGCCAGCAGCCGCGGUAAUACGUAGGUGGCAAGCGUUGUCCGGAAUUACUGGGUGUAAAGGGCGUGUAGGCGGGGAUGCAAGUCAGGUGUGAAAGCCCAUGGCUCAACUGUGGGACUGCAUCUGAAACUGAAUCUCUUGAGUACUGGAGAGGGAAGUGGAAUUCCUAGUGUAGCGGUGAAAUGCGUAGAGAUUAGGAGGAACACCAGUGGCGAAGGCGGCUCCCUGGACAGUAACUGACGCUGAGGCGCGAAAGCGUGGGGAGCGAACAGGAUUAGAUACCCUGGUAGUCCACGCCGUAAACGAUGGAUACUAGGUGUAGGAGGUAUCGACCCCUUCUGUGCCGGAGUUAACACAUUAAGUAUCCCACCUGGGGAAUACGACCGCAAGGUUGAAACUCAAAGGAAUUGACGGGGGCCCGCACAAGCAGUGGAGUAUGCGGUUUAAUUCGAAGCAACGCGAAGAACCUUACCAGGGCUUGACAUCCCUUGACAGCUCUAGAGAUAGAGUUUCCCUUCGGGGCAAGGAGACAGGUGGUGCAUGGUUGUCAUCAGCUCGUGUCGUGAGAUGUUGGGUUAAGUCCCGUAACGAGCGCAACCCUUAUUGUUAGUUGCCAGCAAGUAAAGUUGGGCACUCUAACGAGACUGCCGGUGAUAAAUCGGAGGAAGGUGGGGAUGACGUCAAAUCAUCAUGCCCCUUAUGUCCUGGGCUACACACGUACUACAAUGGCUGGUACAGAGGGGAGCUAAGCCGCGAGGUGGAGCCAAUCCCCAAAACCAGUCCCAGUUCGGAUUGCAGGCUGCAAUUCGCCUGCAUGAAGUGGGAAUUGCUAGUAAUGGCAGGUCAGCAUACUGCCGUGAAUACGUUCCCGGGCAUUGUACACACCGCCCGUCACACCAUGAGAGUUUGCAACACCCGA
rnacentral:rRNA from 1 species